GGCCGACUAGCUCAGCUGGUUAGAGCGUCGUGCUAAUAUAGAUCACUUCAAUUUCAAUCUGAUUACGCGAAGGUCUUGGGUUCGAUCCCCACGUUGGCCA